rnacentral:rRNA from 1 species
CCUACGGGAGGCAGCAGUGGGGAAUAUUGCACAAUGGGGGAAACCCUGAUGCAGCGACGCCGCGUGAGUGAAGAAGUAUUUCGGUACGUAAAGCUCUAUCAGCAGGGAAGAAAAUGACGGUACCUGACUAAGAAGCACCGGCUAACUACGUGCCAGCAGCCGCGGUAAUACGUAGGGGGCAAGCGUUAUCCGGAUUUACUGGGUGUAAAGGGAGCGUAGACGGCAGCGCAAGUCUGGAGUGAAAUCCCAUGGCUUAACCAUGGAACUGCUUUGGAAACUGUGCAGCUAGAGUGCAGGAGAGGUAAGCGGAAUUCCUAGUGUAGCGGUGAAAUGCGUAGAUAUUAGGAGGAACACCAGUGGCGAAGGCGGCUUACUGGACUGUAACUGACGUUGAGGCUCGAAAGCGUGGGGAGCAAACAGGAUUAGAUACCCGAGUAGUC